GUCGAGCGGUAACAGAUCCAGCUUGCUGGAUGCUGACGAGCGGCGGACGGGUGAGUAAUGCAUAGGAAUCUGCCCGAUAGUGGGGGAUAACCUGGGGAAACCCAGGCUAAUACCGCAUACGUCCUACGGGAGAAAGGGGGCUCCGGCUCCCGCUAUGGGAUGAGCCUAUGUCGGAUUAGCUAGUUGGUGAGGUAACGGCUCACCAAGGCCACGAUCCGUAGCUGGUCUGAGAGGAUGAUCAGCCACAUCGGGACUGAGACACGGCCCGAACUCCUACGGGAGGCAGCA
rnacentral:rRNA from 1 species